rnacentral:rRNA from 1 species
GCGUUCUGUAAGCCGUUGAAGGUGUGCUGUGAGGCAUGCUGGAGGUAUCAGAAGUGCGAAUGCUGACAUAAGUAACGAUAAAGCGGGUGAAAAGCCCGCUCGCCGGAAGACCAAGGGUUCCUGUCCAACGUUAAUCGGGGCAGGGUGAGUCGACCCCUAAGGCGAGGCCGAAAGGCGUAGUCGAUGGGAAACAGGUUAAUAUUCCUGUACUUGGUGUUACUGCGAAGGGGGGACGGAGAAGGCUAUGUCAGCCGGGCGACGGUUGUCCCGGUUUAAGCAUGUAGGCGGAGGUUCCAGGUAAAUCCGGUACCUUAUUAACGCUGAGGUGUGAUGACGAGGCACUACGGUGCUGAAGUGAUAAAUGCCCUGCUUCCAGGAAAAGCCUCUAAGCAUCAGGUAACACGAAAUCGUACCCCAAACCGACACAGGUGGUCAGGUAGAGAAUACCAAGGCGCUUGAGAGAACUCGGGUGAAGGAACUAGGCAAAAUGGUGCCGUAACUUCGGGAGAAGGCACGCUGAUG